UCAUCCCACUCGGGAUAGAGCACGAGCCCCGCCCGCAACCGCCGCACCUCGCCUUCAGGGGAUAAGGCUUAUCCCGCAGCCCCGAGCACCCCUCUCCGCGCCUAUAAAAGCCUCGGAGGCUCCUCCCUCCAUGCUGCCCACUUGCUAGUCGUCUCGCAGCUCCUACCACCCGCAGUUGCCGCUUGGAUCUCGCCGGCCUGAGCUACUUCGCCGGAGUUUGCCGUCGUCCGUCACCAGAGACGCCGUCCCGAUGACCUGCGUCCUCGCCGGAGCACGGAGCCGCCGCCCUUCGCUCCACCCGUCCCGGCCACCCCGACGCGUGCCGUCACCACCACCGGACCGCCCACCUCGUGCCCGUCUCGUCCCGUCCGUCAUCUUCCCCGCCGCUGAGGAGACCGCAGCCGCCGCCCCGUCCACCGCCCGACGCCUGCGCCACUGUCUCCUGUUCGUCGUCGUUGCCACCAUUUUCAUCGGAGAGUGACGAAUAGUUCUAUUAAGUACAUUUCUGAGAGCGAUAUAAUCUUCAUCAACUGUUACCAGGCAAGUUCACAUUUGGCCAUUCUUCCAAUUACCUAUGUUUAUAUUAUGCACUUAGUCCUUUUGUGGUAGGAUUGCAUGAUAGGAUUUAUUGUUGCCAGAUGGCUAUGCCGUUACCUAGUAGUUCAUUUGAGGUAGGUCUGAUCUAUACACCCUUGUCACCACCGUGUAAGUUUAUUUUUGCCUCGCUAAAUGUAGACGUGGUUUGGGAAGCGAACAUGGUGAGACAUGAGUGACAAAGUAGUAAGCAGGACCAAGACUUGUAAAUGAACUACCUGAGCGGUAUUUGGUUUGAAUGGUGGCGAAGUAUAGUGGGAGCAUGCAUGGUUAAUCCAUGGCGGUGCACCACUAGUGGUCGGCCGCCCAGGCUCAAAGAGAUCAAUCGUAUUCUCAUGUCUAGAAGCUUACGUGUGCAGCCACAAGCCAAUAUGGGCUCUGGCUUAGUUGAGUAGUUAGUGUGACCCCUUCCGGGAUGGGCUAGCAGAUGUAGAAUGAGUAGGUGUACCGGCCUAUCCAUGGGUUAAUGGGGAACAUUUUCGAAAAAAUAUGUCUCGGUCAUCCUGUUCUCAAACGCUAGGCGGUGCGAGAACUUUAAGGGAGGCGAUCGAGUCUUGUGGGAAAAGUGCGCAAACCUCUGCAGAGUGUUAAAACCUAAUCGAUUAGUCGUGUCCCCGGUUACGGACAACUUGAGCAUCUAGUAGUGGAAAUGCUGGGAGAUCUCAUCAAUCUUAAUUAAACAGUUGGGUUUUAAAUGAAACUUUGGGAAUGGAUUGAGUUGGGUUUACCAACUCAUCCUAUGCUAUACAGUAGUGGUAGAAUAAUAUCUUUUAUUCUAGGGGAAAACUAGCUUUAUGCAAAACCAAACUUAGAGCUUUCCAACUGCCAAAUUGCAUGUACAAAUUGGUUCAUUAUUCUUAUGAUGUGACUUGCCAGUACAUUCAAUGUACUGACCUACAUGGCUGCAACGUCUUAUGUUGCAGGAAUUUCUACGACGAGUAAGAGUUACGUUGUAGGGUUACGGUCUACACUCAACUUGCCGUUGGCGUUGAUGGGACUCCACACCCUUAUGUUUGUUUCCGCUGAGACUUAUGAGGUAUAUAUCAGUUUUACGUUAUUUAUACAUGUGAUUGCACUUUGAUAUAUACAUUGAUGUACUGUGUGUGCCAGCAUACCGAUCCAGGGAUGGCACAGAUACACAGAGGCUUGACCGUUUGAGGUCGGGUUGCUACAGAGAUGGUAUCAGAGCACAUGUUGACUGUAGGACGUGACCCUAGAAACUAAAAAGCCCUUAGGAAAAGAACUCUCUAAAACUGUAUUUUCAAAAAGAUCCUUUACCUCUCUUCUUUUCUAAACUUUAUCAAAUAUCCACUCUUACCUCAAAUAGUUAGACAAUACCCCCUUUCCCUUUGACCACAUGGAGGAUCAACUGAUGGGACCACUUCGAGAAGGACAAGAUAUCAGACUUCACCAUACACUAGAAGAGUUGAAGCUACAAUAGUCGAAGCCUCUAAAGAAUUGAAGAAUUUGAAGACACUGACGAAUUCCAAGAUUUAUAUGACCUUUAGAGGACUAAACCCUUGUUGUAUACUUACGUUAGGUGCGAUGAUUUGUGAGCUGUCAUAUUUUUGUGUGUAUUUUCCGACAGCAACAAAUAAAACUUAUUUUCAAAACUAUAUUGUUUGUAUUGUGUGUAUCUCUCUCUAUCCCUCUCCCGUAUCUCAUCCCAAAACCCUUGGACCCAAUAGAUGAUGAAUGAAGAUGGACUUGUAUUCUCUGGACCGAUCACUCAGUUAGAGGCAGAGCUAUGGAUUCAAAACAUGGAGAGUCACUUCAAGAGCAAUUUGGUUGCAAGGAAGUAUAAGGUUCAAUACGCUCUUCAGUACUUUACAAAAAGUGAUGCAACCUGGUGGAAAAUGCAUCAAGACAUACAAGGAUGUAAUGGAGCAAAAACUUGGGAGGAAUUGAAGAAGACUCUGUUGGGAUCCCGUCUUAUCCGGAAGCACAGUGAUAAACUGAUGAAGGAACCUUGUGCCUGCAAGAUAUGCGGAGAAAUAGGACACACCCAUGAAGAACACAAGGAUGGAUGCCCUCAUUGUGAAGGAAAUCACCAAUCUGAAGAAUGCCCAACCAUGAAGGUUACUUGUUUCUUGUGUGAAGGAACUACGCACUACCAUGCCCAGUGUCAUAUUUAUCCCAAGGUACAAGAAAUUACCAAGCAGCAGAAGGAAGCAGUGAAAGAAGUCCUCAGGGAAAGUUUAAAAGAACCGGUGAUGAAAGAAGAUGUUGACGACCCUGAUGGAGAAAGCCUAAACUGAUUUUACUCCAAUGCUUGCUAUUCAUGUGGAGAAGAAGGACAUUUUUCACAGUAUUGCAUGAAGGAAAACCAAGAGUAUCUGGGAGACUUCCCGAUAGAAGAAGUGGAGUUUGAUCCACAUGAGAUAGAAGAAUUGAUCGAAACAAAGAAGUCCAGGAAGAGAAAGAGCAUGUGU